ACAGCUUUUCAGUUAGCAACCAUGGUUGAUGUCGGAAACAUAAUGUGUCAGUAUCACUUUUCCCCUUAUUUUUUAAUCUUGAAGAAACAAACAUUUUAUGUUCACCAGGAAGAUAAUUAAACCCAUGUUUCACAGAGUGGAAUACAGGUCAAGUAGUCCUGGAAAAUAAUACUUAAAAUCAACUUUCUUGGAGUACCAGGGUUUGCAUCAUAGAACAACAUAAGAAAGAAUAUUCUUUGUACUCAGGGCAGAAUACUGUUUCCAGUCCUUCAACUUAACCUGAUACAAAGUGAAUUACAUUGAGAAUAUAAAGUAAACCCUCUAAUCUGGAACUCCAUGUAGUUUGAUCCAGUAUUUAUUAUUUGCAAAUAUUAUUUCACCCAGGUCUUUACAGAUUUGGAGUGACUUGAACUUCCAGAUGUGGUUCUGCUCAGUCGCCUGUCUCUGGCCAGUCCCUCCACACAGAUGCUCCAACAUCUACCCGUAUCCUUACCUUAUCGAUUACACAGGUAUCCCGUGCAUCACCUAGUAGAAGCUUUUUCCUUUUUUUGUGUGUGUGGAUUGGCAAUAAGUACUCAUGAAGAGAGUUUCCAGCAAAUAGUUUUAGGAAAUGAUUUACAUUCUUAAAAGCAUGUGGGUGAGGCAUUCAGUUUGUAUCUUGAUAUUAACCCUAUAUUAACUUUUACGUAGGAAAGUGCCAGUAGCGACUGACCUCUGACUGAGUCAUAAUCACAAUGUGAACACAUUGAUAUCUUUCAGACUUUUGUUAUAGUUAAUGAGGAGAGUUUCAUCUUGAGUUUGAGUUAAGUCUCAGCAUGUCUGAGAGCAGUAACUUAAGACAGAAUGAACUUUAGAAAAGGGUUUUUUAAAGUUGUUAGGCUGGUUAGCCAAACUUUGUAACAAUGGAUAAAUUGUAAAUUUAAUUAUUUUACACUCUUUUUAGACAAUUUUAAGGGUGCAGGAAAAAACAUUUAGGGGGUCAUGGCCUCAGAUGGAAGUUACAGCUCUGCUAAGCUAGGCUAGUAAUCUUUUAGCAGGACUGUUAUUUUAACUUAGUUUUAGUUAAAUUUAGUUAAAUGUAGCUUUAGCUAAGGCUAGCUAUCGCACCAGCUAGCUUUAACUUAAUGUUUUUUUUUUUUGUGUAGUUUUGCAAACUUUACAUGCUGUUUUUUCUGAAAUUAUGUGUUUCUAUGGCAUAAUAAUAUUUUAUAUGGAAAACAAAAUCUGAUUCUGGUGUUAACCGUGUGACCAAAUAUGUUGUUGCAUCUUGGCUUUGUAGGGCAGAUGUAAUGCAGCACUUCCUGCAGAUUUCUUAACUUGCCUUAACAAACUGUGUAUGUGUGGAAAUAUUUUCAAUAAUUGCUUGAGACCUAAUUCAGAGAUCUGCCUAGCACCACAGUGUCUUAAUCACACUCUCUGUCCUUUAGCUCCUCUCUGUAGCUGUACUUGCAGAUGCAAGAAAUGAUUUCACACCAGGGUGCAUGUUCUCUGUUUUCAUAGGAAACUUGAGCUAUGGCAGAACGGAAAUGUUGUUCGAAUCCUUGAACACACUUAACCAUACAGUACAACAAAGGCAAAGUGCAAAAUUUGCAACUUAUUUGUUUCAAGCAAAGGUGGAAAUGUUGUGUAUAUGCUUACACACUUGUUGGCGAUGCAUGUCAUUAAAUUACAGAAAUGCAAUGUUUCUAAUAGCUUAUAGGCGAGUGCUGCAUGCCCUCAAGCUAGUGCAACUACAUCUGUUACCUCUGGAAAAAUCUCUUUCUAAUCUAAUGUUUAGGACCACAGACUAAGGCUUAGCAGAGCAUUUUUCUACUUAUGAAAUCAGAAUAAGAAACCCUAAAUUAAGAAAUUUUGAAAUCACAUUGAAAUAUUUGAUAAUUUCAUCCACUUUAGAUAAUAUUAGUCUGGCUCAUGCUACAACAUGUAGUUGUCUCUUUAUCCAACACAACAGUAAUGAUCGAUAAUGGAAACACUUAACUGGUUUAUCAACAGAACUGCUAAAAUCAUUUUAAUGUCCAUCCUUGCUAGUAUUUAAUUAAUAUAACUGCUUUAUGUAUCAGUUAAUUUUUCCCAGCAGCUGUGAAUUUUCACUUAACUCUUGUAGUUUGCUUCCAUUUAACACAUUACAUACAUUUACAUGUUGUACAGUAGGUUGUUGAACACAGAAUAUGUACUUUCUGUGCCUGUGAUUUAAAA